GACGAACCGUGCGAACGUUGUUCGGAAUCACUGGGCUUAAAGGGCGCGUAGGCGGGCCGCCAAGUCCGCGGUGAAAUCCCCCGGCUCAACCGGGGAACUGCCGCGGAUACUGGAGGUCUCGAGGGGGGUAGGGGCAUGCGGAACUACGGGUGGAGCGGUGAAAUGCGUUGAUAUCGUGAGACUCCGGUGGCGAAGGCGGCGUGCUGGACCCCUUCUGACGCUGAGGCGCGAAGGUCAGGGGAGCAAAGCGGG
rnacentral:rRNA from 1 species